CUGUUUUAUCUCUUUAAUUGUCUGCCCCAAAUAAGUAAUAAUUUCAAUACUGAAUAUGCAAUCAUCAUCCCACCUAUAGAUGAGUGAAGAUUCACUCAAGAAGAGAGGAUUAUUUAUAAUAUAUUAUCCAAUUAAUUAGUUCUGUUGCAAAGCCCUAAGAAGAAAAGAUGAGCCUUUCCUGUCCUAAAUUAAAACACAAUUACUUCUCUUCUUCAAUCUUUUUCUUCUAUAGUUUCUCUGGCACGUCACAAGAAUAAAGCAAUUUCUGCAUUCAUCAGAAGCCUGUUUUAGUUCUUAUGCAGAAUAAAUCACUGAUCGUGCUUUCAUUAAUUCCAACUAUUAUCAAGAAUUUAAUCUAAUUUGGAUUCUAUCUUUAAUAGGUUACACGAACUCCUUGGUAUCUAAGAAUUUCUCCUAUAAGUUCUCCUUUCCCAGAGCCAACGUACCUUCCACAAAUCUCACCAUCUCUGAUAAAUAAGAAAGUGGGUACCUCAAUCACGUCCAUAUCCUUCAAGAACUGCAUGCAGCUAUCGUUCUCAUCACCGUUCAUCCUUGCAAAUACCACAGUAUCAGCCAUCUUCCUCGAUAAUUUGAGCACUGUUGGAUACACUUUCACGCAUGGUCCACAGUGCUUGAUCCCCACAUCAAGAACAAUCAGCUUGUGAUCAGCUUUAUGAUCAUCAAUCAAUUUCUCCACAUCUUCUCUGCAAUGCAGCUGCAGCACUUCAGAGUGGUUGUCUCCAUAAUAUAGAACAUCUCCCAUGAGCUGAUCUGGGCUAAUCCCUCCCUCUUCGUGAAUCUUCUCCAUGCCCUUGUAGAAGCUGAAGUGAGGGACUUUCUCUACUUUCUCUCUCUUGCAAAGUUCUCUGGUCUUUUCUGAUUCAUCGCCCAUUACAAGCAGGAAAUCCACAUCGUUGCAGGUUCGGCUAAGUUGCACCAUGAAAGGAUAAAUUUUGCUGCUAUGGGUGCUGUGGCUAGCAGCAUAUUCCACAACCACAAGCCUGUUCUUUGCCUUUUUAAGAGCUUCGUCGAAAUCCUCUUUACUGUGGAUUUGUUGUACUCUUUCGUCUCUCGCAGGUUUCUUGGUCCCUUGGGCAGCUGUGGCCUUUAUGGUGAAGUGUGUCCUGUUUGUGUUUAGUACUUCUGUUGCUAAAGGUUUAUGUUUAGAGGCAAAGGGUACUAGAAAGGAACCAUGAAAGCAAAGAGGAUUGAUUUUAGGGGUGGUUAAAAGAGAAGAUGGGGGUUUUGACAAGAAAUUAGUGAUUGUAGCCAUAGCAAAGAAGGUGUUUGAUGCAGCAAAUAGAGAUGGGACUCUGGAGAAGCACAGAGAAAGGCGGGCCGACGAGGUCUCUGUAGGUAAUAACAAAUCCA
rnacentral:misc_RNA from 1 species